UCAGCUCGUUCAACUUUAGCACCUGUCUCGUCCCCAGUGGCUUUUCCAGAACUACUGCCUUCACCAUGAAGCUCCAGCAUUUUUACUUUUCUAACGAAGACAUCAUGGAGAGGAUAAAUAGAUUGGCAAGCCUUUUCUAUGUCUUUUCCAAUGCUGUCUGGAAUCAAUUUAUUGACCACUUCUUUCAAGUCAUUUGUCUGCACCUCUCGGAUCAUGAUUUCCAUCAACGUGAGCUUCAAUCAUUGUCUGCCAUUUUUUGACCAUGGAACACAUUUUGUCACGGGUAAGAUCCAUGCCAUG
rnacentral:lncRNA from 1 species